ACAGGGAUUGCCCUAGUAACGGCGAGUGAAGCGGCAACAGCUCAAAUUUGAAAUCUGGCUCUCGGGCCCGAGUUGUAAUUUGUAGAGGAUGACUUUGAUGCGGUGCCUUCCGAGUUCCCUGGAACGGGACGCCAUAGAGGGUGAGAGCCCCGUCUGGUUGGAUGCCAAAUCUCUGUAAGUCUCCUUCGACGAGUCGAGUAGUUUGGGAAUGCUGCUCUAAAUGGGAGGUAUAUGUCUUCUAAAGCUAAAUACCGGCCAGAGACCGAUAGCGCACAAGUAGAGUGAUCGAAAGAUGAAAAGCACUUUGAAAAGAGAGUUAAAAAGUACGUGAAAUUGUUGAAAGGGAAGCGUUUAUGACCAGACUUGGGCUUGGUUAAUCAUCUGGGGUUCUCCCCAGUGCACUUUUCCAGUUCAGGCCAGCAUCAGUUUUCGCCGGGGGAUAAAGACUUCGGGAAUGUGGCUCCUCUCGGGGAGUGUUAUAGCCCGUUGUGUAAUACCCUGGCGGGGACUGAGGUUCGCGCUUCUGCAAGGAUGCUGGCGUAAUGGUCAUCAACGACCCGUCUUGAAACACGGACCAAGGAGUCGUCUUCGUAUGCGAGUGUUCGGGUGUCAAACCCCUACGCGUAAUGAAAGUGAACGCAGGGGAGAGCUUCGGCGCAUCAUCGACCGAUCCUGAUGUUCUCGGAUGGAUUUGAGUAAGAGCAUACGGGGCCGGACCCGAAAGAAGGUGAACUAUGCCUGUGUAGGGUGAAGCCAGAGGAAACUCUGGUGGAGGCUCGCAGCGGUUCUGACGUGCAAAUCGAUCCGUCAAACAUGGGCAUGGGGGCGAAAGACUAAUCGAACCUUCUAGUACUGGUUUCG
rnacentral:rRNA from 1 species